rnacentral:misc_RNA from 1 species
GUGGGAGCGAGCCUGCUCGCGAAGGCGGUGUGUCUGCUCAUUUCAGUUGAAAGGGCUGCCGUAUUCGCGAGCAGGCUCGCUCCCAC